AGGAGAUGUUUGAUGUUUUCCACCAUCAUCAGGUCAGGAAGUCACAUGACCGGCCGCCACGGUGGCAGAAAACCAAAAAAAAAACUCAACUCAAAAUUGGUUGGUAGUUGUCUUCAAUCUUUACCAAACGAAAACCAUCUGUUUGACAUGCAUGAAAUGAGGAAAGGAGGGAAGGAAAAGAGGAAAAAGGAAGGGAGGAGACGAGUCCUGCAGCGACUGAACUUCUGGAGAUGUUUAAACUAAGACGUGUGCUGAGAUGUUUUUCUGGGACUCAAACUUGCAGAGUAAACAAACUGCUCUGCUUGGAUCAGCUCCAUAUUUGGCUAUUCUGUAGUGCUGCUGCUGCUGUGUUGCAACACUGCAAACACAACAACACAGGCUCAGUGAGAAGCAGGAAUGGUUGCAGAUUGAAGAUAAGCAGGCGGCGGUUUCUACACGCUAAUAAGAACCUGAGGGAGCACUGAAAAGUUAUACUUGGACCCCGAGAGACGACGCCAGUCAGCAGGCCCAAGAUAACUGUGAGAUUAUUGUAAUACAUAGUGAUAAAGUGUCUGUCAGCGGAGCCGUCUCCUCCUGAUUAUCUGUCUGCUCUCAUAGAAAAAGCUGUUCUCUCCUCAGCGCUGGACGUCAGAAGUUCAGCCCUUGAGUAUUGACCCUUGGAGUUCCCCCCUCUGUUUCAUCCACAUGGCUCAACUCUGCGAACACUUCUCUCUCUUAUAUCUCAGGUAGUAUCACAAUGAGAUGUCCACACGUAUGCAGACGAUACGCUGCUGUACAUCGGUGUGUCUCCUGAUGACACCAAAUUCACUGAAUCUGGAUUAAAUUCAGCAUAAAAUAAGAUUAAAAAUGAAAAUGUAUAUAAUCAUCUCUGAUUCUGAGCCACUGCAAAGAGGCAAAUAUUCUGGAGCUGACUAAGAACUUAUGUCCGAAACAAUAAGAGAAUAAAACAGCAUGCGUUUCCUUAGUUCAACAACUUCUUUGGGAAGAUUUUAAAGGGACAUUUACAUUAGUCCAAUCAGCAUUGAUGGUAAUUUUAGUCAAUUGAAGCAACUGAUUCCUUACUGUGUUCUGUAUUGACUGAGAAAGCUGAGUUUUCCUGCUUGCAGAGCCGAGUCUGUGCCAACACGUAGCAGAAUACUUUGCAUGCAAGCCUCUGAAGCCCAACCCCUCAAAUCCUUCCAAGUAAGAAGCAAUUUGAGCAAAAGCACCACUAGACCAUAUUUUGGUGUGGGUAGCUCAGGGUCUGCAUGGUCCCAAACAGCCAAAUCCUCCUCAGUCUCGGCUCAUUACACUGCAGCUCUUCAACAAUAUGCUUUGUAUCCUCGUCCAUAAUAAAUAAACUGGCUGAUAAUUCA